GGAUGAAGAACGUAGCGAAAUGCGAUACUUGGUGUGAAUUGCAGAAUCCCGUGAACCAUCGAGUCUUUGAACGCAAGUUGCGCCCGAAGCCACUAGGCCGAGGGCACGCCUGCCUGGGCGUCACACGCCGUUGCCCCCCCAUCUACUCCUUCGGGAUUGCGGGGGGGCGGAUGAUGGCCUCCCGUGCGCCUAGCCGCGCGGUUGGCAUAAAUACCAAGUCCUCGGCGACGCACGCCACGACAAUCGGUGGUUGCGAAACCUCGGUUGCCCGUCGUGUGCGUUCGUCGCGCAUCGAGGGCUCGAAAAAAUGCUCGGCUCCGGCUGGGCUUUCAACGCGACCCCAGGUCAGGCGGGGUUACCCGCUGAAUUUAAGCAUAUCAAAAGCGGAGGA
rnacentral:misc_RNA from 1 species